rnacentral:rRNA from 1 species
UAAGGAAUAUUGCUCAAUGGGAGAAAUCCUGAAGCAGCAACGCCGCGUGGAGGAUGAAGGGUCUAUGACUUGUAAACUCCUGUAAAGAAGGAAAAAAUUCCCAUUAGAUGGGAGAUGAUGGUACUUCUGGAGUAAGCCCCGGCUAACUACGUGCCAGCAGCCGCGGUAAUACGGAGGGUGCAAGCGUUAUCCGGAUUUAUUGGGUUUAAAGGGUCCGUAGGCGGACUUAUAAGUCAGUGGUGAAAGCCUGUCGCUUAACGAUAGAACUGCCAUUGAUACUGUAAGUCUUGAGUAUAUUUGAGGUAGCUGGAAUAAGUAGUGUAGCGGUGAAAUGCAUAGAUAUUACUUAGAACACCAAUUGCGAAGGCAGGUUACCAAGAUAUAACUGACGCUGAGGGACGAAAGCGUGGGGAGCGAACA